UACGUAGGGGGCUAGCGUUAUCCGGAUUUACUGGGCGUAAAGGGUGCGUAGGUGGUUUCUUAAGUCAGGAGUGAAAGGCUACGGCUCAACCGUAGUAAGCUCUUGAAACUGGGAAACUUGAGUGCAGGAGAGGAAAGUGGAAUUCCUAGUGUAGCGGUGAAAUGCGUAGAUAUUAGGAGGAACACCAGUAGCGAAGGCGGCUUUCUGGACUGUAACUGACGACUGAGGCACGGAAAGCGUGGGGAGCAACAGGGAUAGAUACCCCGUAGUCC
rnacentral:rRNA from 1 species